GCUCGAGUGGGCUAAUUGGUAUAGCCGUCAAGCUCAAACCUUGAUGUUUGUGAGUUCGAGUCUCACCUCGAGUA
rnacentral:tRNA from 1 species